GGUCGGUUGGCCGAAAGGUUAGGCAACGGUCUGCAAAACCGUCUAAAGCAGUUCGAUUCUGCUACCGACCUCGA
rnacentral:tRNA from 3 species